rnacentral:rRNA from 1 species
GCCUAAAGCGUCCGUAGCCGGCUAUGUUAGUUCUCGGUUAAAUCCAUGUGCUCAACAUAUAGGCUGCCGGGAAUACUGCAAAGCUAGGGAGUGGGAGAGGUAGACGGUACUCCGUAGGAAGGGGUAAAAUCCUUUGAUCUAUGGAUGACCACCUGUGGCGAAGGCGGUCUACCAGAACACGUCUGACGGUGAGGGAUGAAAGCUGGGGGAGCAAACCGGAUUAGAUACCCGGGUAGUCCCAGCUGUAAACUAUGCAAACUCAGUGAUGCAUUGGCUUGUGGCCAGUGCAGUGCCGCAGAGAAGUCGUUAAGUUUGCCGCCUGGGAAGUACGUACGCAAGUAUGAAACUUAAAGGAAUUGGCGGGGGAGCACCACAAGGGGUGAAGCCUGCGGUUCAAUUGGAGUCAACGCCAGAAAUCUUACCCGGAGAGACAGCAGAAUGAAGGUCAAGUUGAAGCCUUUACCAGACAAGCUGAGAAGUGGUGCAUGGCCGUCGCCAGCUCGUGCCGUGAGGUGUCCUGUUAAGUCAGGUAACGAGCGAGAUCCUUGCCUCUAGUUGCUACCAUUACUCUCAGGAGUAGUGGAGCGAAUUAGCGGGACUGCCGUAGUUAAUACGGAGGAAGGAGAGGGCCACGGCAGGUCAGUAUGCCCCGAA